rnacentral:lncRNA from 1 species
CCCCUUUUUUGCUCCUAAUUCAUAAAGAGAUUGACUCCACAACUCCAAUCCUAACCAUCCUUUUGUGGUGAUACAAUUUCAGGCAAUUCUAUACACUGUUCCACAAGUUAUUGUCUGGACACUAGAAAAAUGCUUAUUUGGGCCCCAUUUAUACCCCUUAUUCCUAAUCCAAAGGGACCAUAUCCCGAAAAUCAAUCCAAACCUUCCUUUAUUUUGUUUCAAACUUUGUGUUUAAAUUUCAAAGAUUUAUAUUUACUUAUACCUAAGUUAUUGGCAAAUUUCCAAUUAUGCUAAAAUUAUUGGCUGAUUUCCAAAGUAUACUUCAGUUAUUGGCAAAUU